rnacentral:rRNA from 1 species
UACGAAGGGGGGCUAGCGUUGUUCGGAAUUACUGGGCGUAAAGCGUACGUAGGCGGAUUGUUAAGUGAGGGGUGAAAUCCCGAGGCUCAACCUCGGAACUGCCUUUCAUACUGGCAAUCUUGAGUCCGGGAGAGGUGAGUGGAACUCCUAGUGUAGAGGUGAAAUUCGUAGAUAUUAGGAAGAACACCAGUGGCGAAGGCGGCUCACUGGCCCGGAACUGACGAUCAGGCUCGAAAGCGUGGGGAGCAAACAGG